CAAUCCAGGUCGGUUUCUAUCUAUGUAGCCACCUUCUUCAGUACGAAAGGACAAAGAAGCGGGGGACCAAUGCCACAAGCACGUCCCAGACCAUUAACUGAACAAAACUAAAGUAAAACAGCUAUUACCACGACCAAAGAUCGUGGUUC
rnacentral:rRNA from 1 species